rnacentral:misc_RNA from 1 species
AAGUCGUAACAAGGUUUCCGUAGGUGAACCUGCGGAAGGAUCAUUAAAGAGUGAGGGUCCUUGUGGCCCAACCUCCCACCCCUUGUCGUUGAAAAACAAUCGUUGCUUUGGCGAAGCGGCUCCGCCGCCCGCCAGGGACCAAAACAUUAAACCUAAACCCUUCCUGAAGAGUAGUCUGAGUGUGAGAAACACAAUUUAAACAAAACUUUCAACAACGGAUCUCUUGGUUCCG